UACAGAGGGGGCAAGCGUUGCUCGGAAUUACUGGGCGUAAAGCGCGCGUAGGCGGCUUUGUAAGUUAGAGGUGAAAGCCCGGAGCUCAACUCCGGAACUGCCUUUAAGACUGCAUCGCUAGAAUUGUGGAGAGGUGAGUGGAAUUCCGAGUGUAGAGGUGAAAUUCGUAGAUAUUCGGAAGAACACCAGUGGCGAAGGCGACUCGCUGGACACAUAUUGACGCUGAGGUGCGAAAGCGUGGGGAGCAAACAGG
rnacentral:rRNA from 1 species